rnacentral:rRNA from 1 species
UACGUAGGGUGCAAGCGUUGUCCGGAAUUAUUGGGCGUAAAGAGCUCGUAGGCGGUUUGUCGCGUCGGCUGUGAAAACCCGGGACUCAACCCCGGGCCUGCAGUCGAUACGGGCAAACUAGAGUGCGGUAGGGGAGACUGGAAUUCCUGGUGUAGCGGUGAAAUGCGCAGAUAUCAGGAGGAACACAGGUGGCGAAGGCGGGUCUCUGGGCCGUAACUGACGCUGAGGAGCGAAAGCGUGGGGAGCGAACAGG